rnacentral:lncRNA from 1 species
CGAGAGAGUCCACAGGCAUGAUUUGACAGGAUAAUGCCCUCACUUGAUAAAAGGAGAGACUCUCUGUCAGCUGCCCGCAUCCUCCCUGAAGCUCUGGAAUCUGACUUCAUGGAGCAUUUGAGCAGCUAAGCUUUUCCUGACCCCCUCCCUCCCACCACCACUCCCGCCUUCCCCCAGUUGCUGAGCAUAAUUGAGAAUUAAUUGCAUGUCUGCUUAUUAUUUUGCUUACUUAAUUUGGUCUAAACGUUGUUCACACUCCAGACUUAAGGCCUGGAAGUGGCUGUCUUCAGGACCUGAUCUCUCCAAGACAGGCGCUCCAGUGGAUCUGAGUUAGAUCGGUGUAUAGAUCAGAGUUCCUAAGAAGCAAUGGACAAAGACCCAGAGUCUGUGCUGGGGGCCUUGGAAGGCUCUAAACCCUGAGCAGCAGUUUACAGAAGAGGCGAACAAUAUGGAUAUGGAGACAAUCUCUGUAAGUCUUGCUAUGGAAGAAGGAGUUCUCAUGGGGCAAGAACUACUCCAGUUGUUCCCUUAAUGGGGUAGCCAGGGUAGCCUUCAG